CGGCGAGUGGCGAACGGGUGAGUAAUGUAUCGGAACGUGCCCAGUAGCGGGGGAUAACUACUCGAAAGAGUGGCUAAUACCGCAUAUGCCCUAAGGGGGAAAGCAGGGGAUCUUCGGACCUUGCACUAUUGGAGCGGCCGAUAUCGGAUUAGCUAGUUGGUGGGGUAAAGGCCUACCAAGGCGACGAUCCGUAGCUGGUUUGAGAGGACGACCAGCCACACUGGGACUGAGACACGGCCCAG
rnacentral:rRNA from 1 species